rnacentral:rRNA from 1 species
CUGGCGGCGUGCUUAACACAUGCAAGUCGAACGAAGCACCUCUAAUCGAAGAUUGAGAAGCUUGCUUUGAUUGAUUCACCUUGAGGUGACUGAGUGGCGGACGGGUGAGUAACGCGUGGGUAACCUACCCUAUACAGGGGGAUAACAGUUGGAAACGACUGCUAAUACCGCAUAAGCGCACAGGACCGCAUGGUCUAGUGUGAAAAACUCCGGUGGUAUAGGAUGGACCCGCGUCUGAUUAGCUAGUUGGUGAGGUAACGGCUCACCAAGGCGACGAUCAGUAGCCGACCUGAGAGGGUGACCGGCCACAUUGGGACUGAGACACGGCCCAAACUCCUACGGGAGGCAGCAGUGGGGAAUAUUGCACAAUGGGCGAAAGCCUGAAUGCAGCGACGCCGCGUGAACGAAGAAGUAUUUCGGUAUGUAAAGUUCUAUCAGCAGGGAAGAAAAAUGACGGUACCUGACUAAGAAGCUCCGGCUAAAUACGUGCCAGCCGCCGC